GGCUCUCAAGCAAGGUCCACUUGCAGUGAAAUAAACCAGAGGUUUGAAUCAUGCCUCGAUAUGAAAUCAUUGGAAAGAAUAUGGCGAUGACAUCCACAAUGCCAGAUAAAGAAAAUACUUAGAAAAUGAGAUUCCUGUGUUUCUGGCUUUCAUAACUUUUUAGACUUCCUUUCUACUGGAAAACUUUUAACUUUGAAAACCACAAGUAAUAUUUUUCUUCCUGAAACCUCUGCAGUGGUAGCAAUGCAUUGAAGUUUGAUUAAAAGUUUACUGGUCAUUCCUGCCAUGAGAAGAUGAUAGAGAAUAUCACCACAGUGUGGCUUUCUUCUAAGGCAGCAUGAUUUCAUGCAGAGGAUCUAAACUGGGGACCAUGUGCUGGGCUGCAAAAGGGCUGUGCAGUGCCUAAAAUGUUAUGCAAAAUUUUAUAAAGGUAGGUCAUGUAUUGCUCCAUUGAUGCUGCCCUUAUUCAUGAUGAUUAAAGCCUUUGGGAGGUAUUCCUUCAGAACAAUGGACAACUUUGAUAAGUACUGGUAAGAAAAUAAGCAGAAACUCUAAAUUUGAAGUCUUC